AAAUAUUUUGAGACUGUUGUUGCUUUGAUGUCUGAUCAGAAGGAAGGAGAGUUGUCAAUAAAUGAGUUGAAGAUACUCACUUCUAAAGAAUCCAAAACUGAAAACACUCAGUACUACCUUUUGAGCUGGCCUGAGAAAAGAGCAUGUCAGAUUACAAACUUCCCUCAUCCUUACCCACAGUUGGAAUCGUUGCAAAAAGAAAUGAUCAGAUAUCAGCGGAAAGAUGGAGUUCAACUUACUGCGACCCUAUAUCUUCCACCAGGUUAUGAUCCCUCAAGAGAUGGACCCCUUCCAUGCCUUGUUUGGUCAUACCCUGGAGAAUUUAAGAGUAAAGAGGCAGCUAGCCAAGUUCGAGGUUCCCCUAAUGAGUUUGCUGGAAUUGGGCCAACAUCCCCCCUCCUAUGGUUAGCAAGGAGGUUUGCUGUCUUGUCAGGGCCGACAAUCCCAAUUAUUGGAGAGGGUGAUGAAGAGGCCAAUGACAGGUACAUAGAACAACUUGUUGCAAGCGCUGAGGCUGCAGUGGAAGAAGUUGUACGCCGUGGAGUGGCUGAUCCAAAAAAAAUUGCUGUUGGUGGUCACUCCUAUGGGGCAUUCAUGACAGCAAACCUCCUUGCCCAUGCACCUCAUCUUUUCUGUUGUGGAAUUGCUCGUUCUGGUGCUUAUAACAGAACACUAACACCUUUUGGGUUCCAGAAUGAGGAGAGAACACUUUGGGAGGCGACCAGUACUUAUGUUGAGAUGAGCCCUUUUAUGUCAGCCAAUAAGAUUAAAAAGCCUAUAUUGCUUAUCCAUGGGGAGGAGGACAACAAUCCAGGAACAUUGACGAUG
rnacentral:misc_RNA from 1 species